GAUUGGCAAAAGUUUUAUGAUCUGACUGCAUAAGACAUCAUCUACCUCUGUUACCUAAGCUCUCCGACCCCAAUGGUAGAGGCUCACAUGGAAUUAGAUAGACAAAAAACUUUGAUACUCUAGCAAGGCAUGAUGGAUGAUACGCAAACACAUUAAAAUUACAUAGAAAUUGCACACAUGGUAGACAAGUAAAAUUAAACUGUCCAAAUUAUGGUUCCUAGUUUAAUGUUUCAUGAACCAAAAUUUAUUCUUAUUUAAGUAUCCGAUUAUUAGAAUGGCGUUUAAAAAAUAAGUAUCCAUGAAUCAUAGGUUGAAUGUUCAACCAAUAUGAUUUUGGAUCGUGACUUCGUGACAAUGCGUUCCAUAGUUUCCUCAGUUUAAUUUGAGCUAUUGUAUGCAUAUAAGACUCAGUUGUUCUUAACCUAUAUUCAAGUGAGUCUGAAAUCAGUAUUUGUGUUUAGGUCCGUUUGGUUGCACCAAAUUUUGUGAAAUUUUGCACCAACUUGUAUUCAUUAAUCAUGGAAUUUCAUGAUAUUUGGUGCAGGUUAACACACCCUUAAACCGAUUGAAUAUUAUCAUUUUAAUUGUUUCUAAUAUGAUAAUGGGUCCCUCAUUCACCCCACAAAUUGUUCAGAUUUGGAAUCUAUCUGCACGCAUGCUUCCUCGCCAAAACAUGGCUCAUUGGGGAAGAAGUGCAUGUAGUAGAUUACAAUCUGAUCAGGUGGAAUGUUUGGAAGGAAGACGAAUUAAGGAUAUUUUUCAGGAAAGCACAACUCUAUUGUGUUUGGAAAAGAAUUGAAACUUGAAAGCAACCAAACAUUUCACUUUUGGCCAUGCUUGAUGGACAAUUUGGAUCAUGUCUACGUCAUAUGGACGACCCAAGCAUAAGGUUCUCACAGUGGAUUAUAAAAACAUCUUCAGACAAUAUCAUUGCCCUUAAUGAUUAAAUUGUAAAAUAUAUGGUUAAUCUGAAGAGGUAGUCUUAAGUUCUACCAGUUGGACCAUAAGUUACCAUCCACCCAAUGCAUAAUAUCCAACCUGUCAUGUUCCUGUCAUAUAUGACUCUUCUAAUAGGUCAGACCAUCAUGGGGAUCACCUUUUGUAAGAAAAAAUAAGAUUGGAUAACUUAGCGGGUGGAUUGCAUCAUUGAAAGCAAUGUAUAUGCCCUGAUAAAUAUUAUUAUAAAUGUGACUUUGACAUGUUUCGCAUUUGUCUUAGCUGGGUGCGAAGAAUCAGCUAAUGACACAAGGGUCUUUAUGAAAGCUAUUACAAAUCCAGUGUUGGGCUUCCCACAACCUCCUGAUGAAAGGAUUAUGUCGUGUAUAUACAUUGUGAUGGAGGUACACAGAUAGUAAAGAAGCUCUUAUAGAAGAUUGAAGAUAACUGCUAUGGCAGAUGUAGAGAAAGAGGAAGCUGGGAGAGGAAGAAUAGGCAGCUAUGUUGUUGAUGGCUCCUCACUUGGCUUUGUAUUUGUUGCCUAACACAAAAGCAUACAGCUAAUAUGUUAUUGUGUUGCUAUCAUGGUGAUUACGCUGUCUUGCUUGGAGCUCUCAGCGCAACAAUAGAAGAUGUGCAAGUAGGAUUCAGCUUCUAAUGCUUCUUUUCUGUGAAGGAGAUUGAAGUGCUAUUUGAUCUUCAAGCUGGGUAGCUAAAGGCUCAAGAGAUUUUCAUUCUCUCUCUCUCUCUCUCUCUCUCUCUGUUAAUUCACUGGAGUCCGUUUAUGUGGGUUUAUGUGGGUCAGCUUAUUUGCUUAUCUUUUCUUAUGGGUAGGCUACUGUUGUAUAAUUCUACUUUUUAGCUCGCCUUAUAUGAUACGUGUGGCCUAGUUCUUUUUUGCUAGGCCUGCCUAAAUGGAUGUAUAGCCUCGUUUGUGUUUUAAUGAUAUUAUAGGUGGCGUGCUCC